rnacentral:misc_RNA from 1 species
AAAGAAUUGAGGAAAGACGUCAUUUAACAUGACCUUGACCUUUUUAAACAAAUAUUUCGUAAAGGUGAAAUCGACAUCUUUGGUAGGAUCGUUUAACCUCUUUCCUCCAUCCUUCCACAACAUAUGGUUACUUUACAUAUCAUUUGAUGCCAAAGCUUGUAAAAAUUUUAUAAAUGUACCGAAAUUUUACCAAUUAUCUGUAACAUGUUGUGAUAUUCAUACGAUACAGUACUGUGAAUGAUGAAAUAACUCUGUAAUACAAUGUAUAUAUUUCUCUUUUUUGCCAUUAUCUGGUAGAUCAUAUAACUGUUUCGUGUUUACUAUGCGAUGCCAAUCAAUGUUUCAAAUCACCAACAAUGUCUUUGAAAUAAACCGUUUAGUACCU